AAGGGUUAGAGAGAGAGAGUCGGAUGGUUAAUGAAAGGAGUGGAGAAAAGGGAACCCGCUACCAUCACUGAAAAGUUGGGAGCAGGUAACCUUCUCCCAUCAAUCACAUCUGCAUUUGUUUGUUUGAAAAAGAAGGUGGAAGGUUGUAUGUUUCUCUAAUGCUUCUCAAAGAUGACUCCGGAUCAGAGUCCAAAAUUUGGAAAUUUUCUUCUGUCCUUUCCAAGAACUACUCCAGAAUAUAGCAGCACGACUCAAUACCGUAUCCAGCCUACUUUGUGUAAAAUUAAAGAGGUUACAUAGGACUUUAUCACUUGUUGCUUUUCCAUUAUUACAGGAUCCAAGUAACUAACUCUACAUCAAUUCUUUGGAAGUUGAUGCUAAGGCAUGUGUAGACUUCGUGGCAAAAGUAGUUGGAGUAACUUCGGGACCAAAAGGAAGAAUUUUGGUGUUGCACAUUAAAUUGCAUCCCAAGAUUGUUAAAGAUACUGAAAGUGUUUUAAACAGGAUGAAACAUAUUCAGCUUUCAUAUGGGAUUUGAUAAAACUACCAAAACAUGAUGCAUGUAGAGAUGGAAGACUACGUAG